rnacentral:rRNA from 1 species
ACGCUCGACACCUACGGGGGCAGCAGUGGGGAAUAUUGCACAAUGGGGGAAACCCGUGAUGCAGCGACGCCGCGUGACUGAAGAAGUAUUUCGGUAUGUAAAGGUCUAUCAGCAAGGAAGAAGAAAGACGGUACUUGACUAAGAAGCCCCGGCUAACUACGUGCCAGUAGCCGCGGUAAUCUGAGCGGGCUGGCAAGGC